rnacentral:piRNA from 1 species
UCACGCGUCAGCUUGCUGUGCUUACUGC